rnacentral:tRNA from 1 species
GGGCCUAUAGUAAAGUGGUAUUACGCUACAUUCGCAUUGUAGAGGCGGCAGUUCGAUUCUGCCUAGGUCCACCA